rnacentral:rRNA from 1 species
GAUGAACGCUGGCGGCGUGCCUAAUACAUGCAAGUAGAACGCUGAAGGAAGGAGCUUGCUCUUUCCGGAUGAGUUGCGAACGGGUGAGUAACGCGUAGGUAACCUGCCUGGUAGCGGGGGAUAACUAUUGGAAACGAUAGCUAAUACCGCAUAACAGUAGAUGUUGCAUGAUAUCUACUUAAAAGGUGCAAUUGCACCACUACCAGAUGGACCUGCGUUGUAUUAGCUAGUUGGUGAGGUAACGGCUCACCAAGGCGACGAUACAUAGCCGACCUGAGAGGGUGAUCGGCCACACUGGGACUGAGACACGGCCCAGACUCCUACGGGAGGCAGCAGUAGGGAAUCUUCGGCAAUGGACGGAAGUCUGACCGAGCAACGCCGCGUGAGUGAAGAAGGUUUUCGGAUCGUAAAGCCCUGUUGUAAGAGAAGAACGAGGGUGAGAGUGGAAAGUUCACACUGUGACGGUAUCUUACCAGAAAGGGACGGCUAACUACGUG